UCCCAUUUCCCUUUCACAGUCAGUCGCCUGUCGUCGCUGGAAACUGUCGCACGUAAUGAAAUUUGCGGCCAGCGCGUUUUACGCGUUUUAAUUGAUUCUCAAGGGACUAUUACAACUUGGAUGCUUGGUCUCUCGCCAACAUAAGCCUUGGAAUAACAAUGUUAAAACUGUGGAUGGGACUAGACUGUAGUGAAGCCUUUGUUAAGCUGAAUACAGAACGAGGAUGAAAACCAAUAAAUGAUCCCAAAUUCAAAGUUUCAAACCCCGAA